UACGGAGGGAGCUAGCGUUGUUCGGAAUUACUGGGCGUAAAGCGCACGUAGGCGGCUUUGUAAGUUAGAGGUGAAAGCCCGGAGCUCAACUCCGGAAUUGCCUUUAAGACUGCAUCGCUUGAAUCCAGGAGAGGUGAGUGGAAUUCCGAGUGUAGAGGUGAAAUUCGUAGAUAUUCGGAGGAACACCAGAAGCGAAGGCGGCCAACUGGCCCGAUACUGACGCUGAGGCGCGAAAGCGUGGGGAGCAAACAGG
rnacentral:rRNA from 1 species